rnacentral:rRNA from 1 species
CCUACGGGAGGCAGCAGUGGGGAAUAUUGCACAAUGGGCGCAAGCCUGAUGCAGCCAUGCCGCGUGUGUGAAGAAGGCCUUCGGGUUGUAAAGCACUUUCAGCGGGGAGGAAGGCGUUAAGGUUAAUAACCUUGGCGAUUGACGUUACCCGCAGAAGAAGCACCGGCUAACUCCGUGCCAGCAGCCGCGGUAAUACGGAGGGUGCAAGCGUUAAUCGGAAUUACUGGGCGUAAAGCGCACGCAGGCGGUCUGUCAAGUCGGAUGUGAAAUCCCCGGGCUCAACCUGGGAACUGCAUUCGAAACUGGCAGGCUAGAGUCUUGUAGAUGGGGGUAGAAUUCCAGGUGUAGCGGUGAAAUGCGUAGAGAUCUGGAGGAAUACCGGUGGCGAAGGCGGCCCCCUGGACAAAGACUGACGCUCAGGUGCGAAAGCGUGGGGAGCAAACAGGAUUAGAUACCCGAGUAGUC